CCAUUGGCUGUUCUUGUUCUGAACACGCUCUGUCCCAGAAUUGUUCUAGAGGAAGGCUCCUCACCGCCCCUGACCUGUAUUAUAGAGAAGGCUCCUCACCACCCCUGAACUGUAUUAUAGAGAAGGCUCCUCACCACCCCAACCUGUAUUAUAGAGAAGGCUCCUCACCGCCCCUGACCUGUAUUAUAAAGGCUCCUCACCGCCCCAACCUGUAUUAUAGAGAAGGCUCCUCACCGCCCCUGACCUGUAUUAUAGAGAAGGCUCCUCACCACCCCUGACCUGUAUUAUAGAGAAGGCUCCUCACCACCCCUGACCUGUAUUAUAGAGAAGACUCCUCACCGCCCCUAACCUGUAUUAUAGAGAAGACUCCUCACCACCCCUGAACUGUAUUAUAGAGAAGACUCCUCACCGCCCCUGACCUGUAUUAUAGAGAAGACUCCUCACCACCCCUGACCUGUAUUAUAGAGAAGACUCCUCACCACCCCUGACCUGUAUUAUAGAGAAGGCUCCUCACCACCCCUGACCUGUAUUAUAGAGAAGGCUCCUCACCGCCCCUGAACUGUAUUAUAGAGAAGGCUCCUCACCGCCCCUGACCUGUAUUAUAGAGAAGACUCCUCACCACCCCAACCUGUAUUAUAGAGAAGACUCCUCACCGCCCCUGAACUGUAUUAUAGAGAAGACUCCUCACCGCCCCUAACCUGUAUUAUAGAGAAGACUCCUCACCGCCCCUGAACUGUAUUAUAGAGAAGACUCCUCACCGCCCCUGAACUGUAUUAUAGAGAAGACUCCUCACCGCCCCUGAACUGUAUUAUAGAGAAGACUCCUCACCGCCCCUGAACUGUAUUAUAGAGAAGACUCCUCACCGCCCCUGAACUGUAUUAUAGAGAAGACUCCUCACCGCCCCUGAACUGUAUUAUAGAAGACUCCUCACCGCCCCUGAACUGUAUUAUAGAGAAGACCUCACCGCCUGAACUGUAUUAUAGAGAAGACCUCACCUCCCUGAACUGUAUUAUAGAGAAGACCUCACCGCCCCUGAACUGUAUUAUAGAGAAGACCUCACCGCCCCUGAACUGUAUUAUAGAGAAGACUCCUCACCGCCCCUGACCUGUAUUAUAGAGGAAGGCUCCUCACCGCCCCUGACCUGUAUUAUAGAGGACUCCUCACCGCCCCUAACCUGUAUUAUAGAGAAGGCUCCUCACCGCCCCUGAACUGUAUUAUAGAGAAGACUCCUCACCUCCCCUGAACUGUAUUAUAGAGAAGACCUCACCGCCCC
rnacentral:lncRNA from 1 species